GAUAAACGCUAGCGGCAGGCUUAACACAUGCAAGUCGAGGGGCAGCAUAGAUUGUAGCAAUACAAUUGGUGGCGACCGGCGCACGGGUGCGUAACGCGUAUGCAACCUACCCGUCACAGGGGGAUAAUCCGGAGAGAUCUGGUCUAAUACCCCAUAACAUAUGGAUCGGCAUCGGUUCAUGUUGAAAUUUUCGGAGGUGACGGAUGGGCAUGCGUAGCAUUAGCUUGUUGGUGAGGUAACGGCUCACCAAGGCGACGAUGCUUAGGGGGACUGAGAGGUUUUCCCCCCACACUGGUACUGAGACACGGACCAGGCUCCGACGGGAGGCAGCAGUGAGGAAUAUUGGGCAAUGGACGCAAGCCUGAACCAGCCAUGCCGCGUGCAGGAUGACGGCUCUAUGAGUUGUAAACUGCUUUUGUACGAGGGUAAAGUGGGUUACGUGUAACCUUUUGAAAGUAUCGUACGAAUAAGGAUCGGCUAACUCCGUGCCAUCCGCCGCAGUAA
rnacentral:rRNA from 1 species